AGGGAAUAUUGGACAAUGGGCGCAAGCCUGAUCCAGCCAUCCCGCGUGAAGGAUUAAGGCCCUCUGGGUUGUAAACUUCUUUUCUCUGGGAAUAAAAACCGGUAUUCAUAUCGGCUUGAAGGUACCAGAGGAAUAAGCACCGGCUAACUCCGUGCCAGCAGCCGCGGUAAUACGGAGGGUGCAAGCGUUAUCCGGAUUCACUGGGUUUAAAGGGAGCGUAGGUGGCUUUGUAAGUCAGUGGUGAAAUAUUGCGGCUCAACCGCAAAACUGCCAUUGAUACUGCUUAGCUUGAAUCAAGUCGAGGUGGAUGGAAUAAUACAUGUAGCGGUGAAAUGCUUAGAUAUGUAUUAGAACACCGAUUGCGAAGGCAGUUCACUAGGCUUGUAUUGACACUGAGGCUCGAAAGCGUGGGGAUCAAAC
rnacentral:rRNA from 1 species